UCUCUGGUCUGUCUCUGUAAGAAGUCUUCAAUUAAGCUAUGUUGCUGUAAAGAAGAAUGUGACUUAUCCCGAUGUCCCUCAUUGUGCUAACAUUAACAUACUUGAUUAUGAGGUGUGUCGAGCAGCUCACCGAGGGUUGCCAGCAACAAGCAGAACAUUGUGUGCAGGUAUCCUGGAAGGAGGCAAAGAUUCAUGUAAGGCUUUCCCAUCUCUACCCAUCCACAAAACUAACGUGCCAAUGGCCAGGAGGACACAGACUGCUACCCAAAGACCCAGACGGGCGUGUCUUCCCUUCGAGGUGGAGGCAACCUGAGCACAGGGCCUCCCCGCACUCUUCACAAGGGUCAGGAGCACUGGGGAUCAUCCUCCAAGGACAAAAAGAAGGCACGGAGGAGCCAGGUUCCUCUCCCUGGGCGGCUACGAGCUUUCCCAUCUCUACCCAUCCCCAAAACUAACGUGCCAAUGGCCAGGAGGACACAAACUGCUACCCAAAGACCCAGACGGGCGUGUCUUCCCUUCGAGGUGGAGGCAACCUGAGCACAGGGCCUUCCCGCACUCUUCACAAGGUUCAGGAGCACCAGGGAUCAUCCUCCAAGGACAAAAAGAAGGCACGGAGGAGCCAGGUUCCUCUCUCCGGGCGGCUGCGAAUGAGUCCCGGCUUCUCAUCGCAAUGAGGCUGACGAAGCAGCAGCUUCCUCAAAGUGACUUUCAGCUGCAGAAGAGGCCACCAAGAUGCCAGAAUCAGCGACGGGGAGGCUAGAGCAGCAUCGGAAGAACAGGUGCAAGGACGCUGUAGCUCUGCCCCUCUUUUUCCUGUUGGGUCCCAACCCCCAAAGCGCAGCUUCUUCUAGAGCAGAGGUGGGGAACUAUGGCUCCCCUUAUGAUUUGUGGACUUCAACUCCCAGAAUUCCUGAGCCAGUCCGGUACCAUAGCUGGAUACCCUCCCUCCAGUUGUACAGGCUUCAAUUUCCCUAAUUCUCCACAAUUACCAUCCUUACUGGGAAAUUCUAGGAGUUGAAAUCCUGGAGAGGAUGAAAUUUAAAGGUGAAGGCUAAUUUUAAACAAAUCAAAUUCAAACAAAUUACAACUGUGGAGAACAUCCAUCCAGUGCUUUGCAUAGCCAGCUUUCCUGAUCUGCUUUUCCAAAACUAGAUCCUAGAAUGGAAAAUGUGGAGUCUUUUCAAACCAGUCUCACAACCCUGAAAAUUGUUGGACUUAAGUUAGUAUCAGUUGCCACUAUUCAUAAUAUGGAAACAGUUGUUUCUCCACACCAGCUAAACAAAUGGGUCAACUGAGUGUAUGGUUGCCUUUAUAUGGUCUAACUCCCUGGCUUUUUUAGGUUUAAAAAUAUUUCCAGUUAAAAGAAAAAAAAAUCUAUUUUCCUUCUGUCCUAAAGCUGAAGUGAAUUCUGCACCAACAUCUCACAUAGACUGCAUUAAUGACAUAUUAGGGUUUUUUGCUUUCCACGAGGGUCUGUUUUUAUUGAGAUACAUAUCCAGUCUUGUUAUCAGUGUUCUUUCGUGCUUCAGGCUCAGUGGUGGGAUUCUGCCGGUUCGCACCACUUCGGCAGAAGCUGUAGCUAAUUUCUUGUUGCCCAGGCCCAGAAUGGACUUCCGGAAGCGGCAUCCAUAGAGAGAACCGGUUAUUCACAUAUUUGAAUCCCACCCCUGUUCAGGCUGCAUGAUAUACAGCCAAGUUACAUAAGGAUGUGAAGGGUUCUGGAACAAAGGGAAAUUGUUUAGUCUAACUGUUGCUUUUUGCUUUUUGUAAUCAGCUUUAGCUCCAGAGAAAUUUCAUACAAGCUUGGGAAACGUGUACAUGGAUGGGAUAUACUGAAGGAGGAAAUAAGGGAGUGCACAGGAAUGAUUGAUGUCUUUCUUAUGAUGGAAUGGCUCUGUUGUCUGAUUUUCAUUGGCUAACAAAGUUUAUAAAGCAAUUCUACCAACUUUCUAAGACGUGGCACUUCUGGACGUGACUCUGCCAGCCUUCCAGAUUGUUGGCCACCCAGCUGCUUAAUUUGAUCAAAUAAAGUGCUGCUUAAUGAAGAAAUCUCCUCUUGGGUUAUCUAAUUAGAUUAAUAUGGUAUCUCAAGUUUAAGUAAGGGACUGGGACCUUACAGUACCAUGCAUGUCUUUCAUUUGUAUGGUGUCAUCACAGCACACAUGCCUCUGAUUCCCUAGUAGAUACUGCCUUUAAGAGUAUAUAGAAAAUACACAACACCAGACAUAGCACCCAAACACUUUUUUUCCGCUAGAAAGAUAUAUAGCUGGGGUCUUCAAACCUGGCCCUUUUAUGACUUGUGGACUUCAACUCCCAGAAUUCCUCAGCCAGGCAUAGCUGAGUUUUGGGUGAUAUUUUCACUCAACUGUUUAAACCAUGAGUCUCCUCUUCGUAAAACAGAGUUGUUGGCUUAGCCUGCUCAAUAGUUAGCCUGCAAAGAAACACAUA